ACAGAUCUCAGGGUCUGGUUUAGUAAGUCUGUCAAUAUAUUGUGUGUACAACUUUCUGUGAACCAUUCAAAAUGCAAGCAAACUUUCCUAAUGAUGGAGAUUGUUCAUACUUGCAGGUGGAGUGUCACCCAUACCUCACCCAGGAGAAACUGAUCCAAUAUUGCCAUUCUAAGGGCAUCACUGUCACAGCCUACAGCCCCCUGGGCUCUCCAGAUAGACCUUGGUGAGGCUUCUGAGUGGUGGGUCUUUGUCUUAGUACUCUUAAAAAUAUUACUUUAUAACUGGUUGAGUUUGGUAUGAAUCUGUAAGUCACCAGAAAGAAAAAUGUGUCUAAGGCAAUGUGCUUAACCCCUCCAAAUGGGAUUAUGGUGGGAAAGAAUGGGAGUUUAAAAAGAAAGUGCAACACUUCUGACCCUCUGAGAAUACUCCAGUGCUAGACCAGCCUUGGUGAAAUGCUGAGGCUCCAGAGCCCAUGGAUGGACUAGCUCAUGGGAAAGACACAGAGCUUCUGGGUUUCUCCUGUUGGUGUCCCAAAUGGAGAAGGCUCUGAUGCCCAGCCUCGAGAUUGACAUUGGAGUGAUGUGCUUAUGCAUUUGGUAACCAUGGUGAUUAUUCAUAACAGCUAACUUUCUGCCUCUAGGGCUAAACCAGAAGACCCUUCACUAUUGGAGGACCCUAAGAUCAAGGAGAUUGCUGCAAGGCACAAAAAAUCCCCAGCCCAGGUACAAUGUGGGGUUUUUGCUCUUUAUCUUUAUCCAGCAAUCCAUUUAUUCUACCGUCUUCUGUUUUAUUCCUUUUAUUGUCUUCAUUCGACUCAUUAGAGGGGAGGAAAACAGGAAGUAAAGCACACUCAUGUGCCUUCUUGGAAGUCUUGUUAGGACCCCCAGGAAAUACAGUGGGUAUCAAUGAAACAAGGUUUAUUAGUCAGCUUUCUGUUGUUUAGAAAAUCAACAGAAAGGAGAAAAGAUUUAUUUUGGCUCAGGGUUUCAAUAUUUCAGUCUGUGGUCAUUUGGCCCCAUCACUUUGGGCCUUGGUGAGCCAUGUAUGGGCCAUGUGUGGUGGAGCAAAGGUGCUUACAUCAUAGCACUCAAGGAGGAAAGGUGCAGGAGGAAUGAGAGAGAGGGAGGGGGGAGUGAGAGAGAGGGAGAGAAAGAGAGAGGGAGACCCUUCAAACAAAGGCCAGUGACCUACCUCUUCCAACUAGGUUCACAGCUCUCUGAAGUUUCCACCACCUCCAAAUAGUGCCACACUUGGGGACCAAGCCUUCAAUGAGCCUUUGGGGGUAUUCCAGGUCCAAACUCUAACACAAGUGUGGCCUCUGUCUAUUGGCUUCCUACCAAGUUGUCUAGCUGAACCACAGAGAAUGGUUUUGGGUUCAUAUGCCAUCUGUACCACAUCUCAGCCUUAUGACCUCCAAGGACACCUUCAUUUCUAAACAAGGAAAACCAUAGGGUUUUCCCAUAACCUGCUAGUUAGGGAGGGAAGGGGAGAACUGGCCAGUGUCUCUAAUAGUUAAGCACUUGGCCCAACAUUCACUGUUGUAGCUAAAGCCUCAGUGAGCUACAGAGAUAUUUUAUUUUUCCUUUUUCUGGGAAAGGGGGGUCCUUGUGGACAAAUAGAAAUAUGAAGUCCUCUUUCUUCACAGGUUCUGAUCCGGUUCCAUAUCCAGAGGAAUGUGGUGGUGAUCCCCAAGUCUGUGACCCCAGAACGUAUUCUUGAGAACUUUCAGGUGAGAUCCUAUCUGAUCAUCUGGUAUUCCCCAGUGGAGGAGGUGGCAAGGGAGACUCUCUCUCCAGGUUUUUCAUCUCAUCCCUGUGUAUUAGUGGCUCCUGCCAUCUUCUCCACUCUUAGGUCAGGAAUCUGGCCUCAGAGCUGAGAGAAAUGAUCACAGGAUGUGCUAGGGCAGUGACAGGAGAAUCCCUGUCAGAUCUGAGCACACUGAGAAGGUUCCUAGUUGUCCUUGAGCAAUCAGGUCAUGGGCCACACAAGAGACCUCCUAGCAGCAGAUGAGAGAUGGACUGUACUUGAAGAGCUAUCCUUCUAGAAGAACCUAUGUGAACAGGAUGCUGUAUAAACUGAGGUUUAAUACCUACAAGUCUGGUAUCCCUCCUUUGGGCACACUACACCCUAUAAAUACUGCAGAGUCUGGUGGGGGGGAGGGGAGAAAUGGGGGGCAGGAAAAGAUAUUGGGGAUCUAAGCCAAGGACACUUUAUCACUGAGCUAUAUCACCAACCUCCCUCACUUUUUUAAGAGGGGGGUCUUGGUAAAUUGCCCAGGCUGACUUUAAACUUGGUUUCCUCCUGUCUCAGUCUCCCAAGUGGCUAGAAUUAUGGCACGUACCACCACAUCUAGCUAAAUACUACAGUCUUUGUGUGGGACCCAAUUUAGAGAAAAAUUUAUAUCCACUUGACAUACAAAGGACAUCUGGACUCCUGUGGCUAGUUUGUGCUACAGAUAUGAGCUUACUCCCUGCUAAAAUAACUGAAGAUCUCAAAUCCCAGGAAUUGUCUUGCCAAGGAUGUUUUGGAAUUCUUGCCUUUCCAGGUCUUUGACUUCAAAUUGAGUGAUGAGGAGAUGGCGACCUUACUCAGCUUCAACAGAAACUGGAGGAUCGGUGUCCUGGCUGAGUAAGUGUCAGCGGGUUAAUAAGGAGGAUCAUGGGGUUUUGUUUGUUGUUGCUUGUUUUGAAGAGGUAGAGGAUUAGCUGGAAAGAUUGGAAGGCAGCUGCAUCUAUAUUUGUCUUUUAGUACUAUUUUCUUGUUGUUCUUGAAUACUAUUGGAGUCCUGGGGAAUCAUUCUGGAAAGACAUAUUUCUAAUUGCUGCUCAUUGUCUGAACUUUUGAAUGUAGAGCUAGAAUUUCAAGAGAAGAGGUGUCAUUGCUCUGUAGGAGGCAGAAGUUUCCAUUCAUUCAUUCACUCAGCAGUUUACUGGUCAUCUACAAUGUGCCAGGCAUUUUCUAGGUGUUUGGGAGAUCACACUUUGUACAAAGUUCCUGCUGCCACAGUCUUAAAUUCUAGUUAGGGAGAACAAAAGUAACUCAAAAUAUAUAUGUCAGAUAGUAACAAAUUGUACAGGAAAAUAAAGAAGGGUAAAGGGGAUAGGAAGAGGUGGGUCCUGGGGAGGUUGGUACUUAAUAUUGAGUAGGUGAGGGAAGGUUUUGCUGAUAAGGUGACAGUUGAGCAGAAACCUGAAGAAAGUAAAAAAUAAGCCAUGUGGAUUUUGGGAAGAAGAGCAUUUUGGGCAGUGAAAGCAGCAAUUUCAAGGGCCUUGAGGUGAGAAUGUGUUUGGAGCAUUUGAAUAAAGAGGGCAGUGAGGCUGGAGUGGAAUGGAUGACAGGAAGAGUAGAAGGGAUGAGGCUGGAGAGAGGUGUCCAGGCUCAGAGCAUACACAGAGGGCGUAAACCAUGAGAGGGACUUUCAUUUUAGCUCUGAGCUGAGAAACCAUUGGAGGAUUUUGGACCGAGGGCUGGCAGGAUUUGACCUAACAUGUUUAUGAUGCCAUUAGACAUCCAAGAGGGAAUGUCAAAUACAGAGUUGGACUGGAGGAUUCAGGAGUAAACCUACCUGGCUUCUCAUCCCAGCCCCACCAUUUACUUACCAGCUGUGUGGUAACUUCAUCAAGUUGGCUUCUGUAUCUACAAAAUACGGAGGGAGGGUAGUAGUAAUUACAGCAGACAUCUAUGGAAUGUUGGCUCCGAAUGUACCGGGGAUCCUAAGUCCUUUACCUGUGUUGUUAAGUCAAGCAUCAAUUCCACUGUUAUUCCCAACUCUCAGUGUUGUGAGAAUGAAUUGACAACACUUGUAAGGUGCCAGGCGUGGUGGAAGCCAUUGAAUUAUGAUUUCAUUCUGGUGCCCUGGUCACUACUUACUUGCCUGCCUGUUUUUCUUAAAUACCUCUCCCACUGAUUUGAAGGAAGGUCAAGGUAUGAGCUUCCCUACUUAUGUCCUCACAGAGUCUUGGGGGAAGGUGGCUGAGGGAGCACCAGAGAAGAAUGGAUUGUUAGAGCACAGUUGCUGCUUUUGUGGAACACAUUCUCUCUGCUUGUUUCUGCAGCCAGGCUAAUUUGCCGGAUUACCCCUUUAAUGCCGAUUACUGAAGCUGAAUCUCCUGAUGAGACACCUGGUGGAUUCUUUCUCUUCAUGAAGUGGAAUUUGCUCUCCCUGAGGCCCAUUUUAACUAAAUUUAUAUGAAAUUAUAUUGUGCUUGAUCUUGUCAGAAUCUAGGCAAAAUUAAAAAAAAAGUUUAUUAGUGCAUUAUAAUUGUACAUAAUGGGAUUUUUUAAAUGCUCUAAUUGUCCAUGCACACAACAUUAGUUGCUCAAUCUCCUUCCCAGAACCUUCUUUCCUUCUCCUCCCUCCCCCUAAGCAAGGUUUGAUUUAGAUCCAUAUGUUGAACCAGGGAAAGACUUAUACAGGGAAGUAUGACUCAGAUGAGCAAAUGACUAUUUCUUCCACUUAUUUGAUCUGAACAAAUGUUUGUUAAACUACAGGGUCUCUGCUACCAUUGAGGAUGCAAAAAUAAAAAUAAUUAAAAAAUAAUGAAAGUAAUCAACGUGUACUGAAAGUUCACUGUGCACCCAUACACCUUGAAGUGCUUUUCCUCUCUGUGAGCUCACUGAAUUCAACUUUCAUCAUUCCAGUUUUUCAGAAGAUGAAAUGGAGGCUCAAGGCAACCCAGGUAGUAAGUGGCUGAACCAAGUUUCCUUUUUACCCCUAGCACUGGGGAUUGGACUCAGGGGGCACUCUACCAAAGAGCUACAUCUCCAGCCCUUUUUGUUUUGAAACUGAAUCUCACUAAGUUCCAAGGCUGACCUCAAACUUGCAUUCCUCCUGCUUCAGCCUCCUAAGUCCCUAGGAUUUCAGGCAUGUGCUGGUAGGCCUGGUUCCAUAGUAUUUUUCCUUAUGAAAUAUUCCAGUUAUAUAGAAUGUCCCGACGAUAACAUAGUGAGCAUCUGACAUACUUCAAAUUAAAAAAAAAUUUUUUUUGAGACUUUGGGGACCAAACCCAGGGCCUCAUGCAUGCUAAGCAAGUGCUAUACUACUGAAUCAAGCCUCCAGCUGAAAAAUGAAAAGAAAGCAUAAAGAAAUAAGUGGUUACUAGUAAAGUUGAGGACCACUUCUUCUUCUCAUUUCCUUGACUCCUCAGAAUUAAUGUCCAUCCUCAGAUUCCUGAGUCACCUCAUCCUCUGUUGGUUCUAUGCCUACUUACUUACAGAUCAGCUUCCUCGUCUUACCUUCUUCCAUUCUGCAGGAUGGUGGGGAGAGGAGGUCAACACCUGGAUUUCCAGACUUCCUAGUUAGAUGGUUUCCUCUGGGAUUGCUUAAAUAGGGUGUACUGUUAGGAGAUUAGAGGGCUGGGGGAAGGGAAAAGCCCAAUGUUUUCUCUUUGAGAGGUCUCUCCAUUAGAAGUCAGAUUUCCUCUAUUUUUCUUGUGGUCCCAGCUCUUGCCUGGCAGCCUCCACCAUGAUUCUAUCUCCUAACACAUGACACAGCUUCAGAGAUUAGGAAACACUGCUUUCUUCUAUGUCCUCUAUCCCUAGGGGCAGUGUCUUUUCUGCUAUUGCUAACUCAUCCUCUCUCUCAUCCCAGUUCUUCCCUCCCUUGUGCAGACAAUUUUAAUUAAUAUCCAAUGUUCAAAAAUCAGUGUUGGACUGGGGUGUAGGUCAGUGAUAGAGUGCUUGCCUAGCAUGUGUGAGGCCCUGGUUUCAUCCCUAGUACUAUUAAAAAAAAUUAAAAUUAGUGCAGUUCCUGUCCUGGCUGGACCCUUAACUGAUGCAUUUUUUCAUCCACAUUUUUACACAUUAUUAUUUACGCACACAACCCCACAAAUAAUUCAUGAGAUUAUUUGGAGGUAUAUAAAGAUGUAUGAACAUUAUAUAUAUGAAGCAAUUUAAAACCAGAGUCCAGUGAUAGUUCUAUUUGUUGUUGUUGUUGUUUUUGGUACUGGAGAUUGUACCCAGGAGCACUUUACCACUAAGCUACAUCCCCAGUUUGUUUAUCUGUUUUUCUUAGGAGACGGGAUCUCACUAAGUUGCUGAGGGUCUCAUUAAGUUGCUAAGGCUGGCCUUGAACUUAUGAUCCUCUUGCCUCGGUCUCUUGAGUUGCUGGGAUUACAGGUGUGUGCCAUUGCGCCCAGCUUUAUGCACAUUUUAAAAAUUAGAACUUGAUUUUUGAAUUUAUUAUCCAAGUAGCUAACAUAGUAUUUCUUGAUAUUAUCUGAAACAUAAUUAGGCCCCACUUUUCUCAGUAGUCUAUUUGUUUCUGUAUUCCUUUUGGCUCCCUGGAUUCAAGUGUUGUAUUCAAUGUGAAGUGUGUUUAGUUGUGUCUACAGUGUUGGCAGCUUCCCCAUCACCAUGACCUUACAUCUGCGCUCCUUGUACUUUGGCAUGGAAUUCGUGCUCCAUGCAGUUUAGUCACACAAUUGACAUUUGUUGCCCCAAUGAAAGAACCCAAAUUGCCUGAUAAGCCUGGAGGAGUGUACCAGGACUUUAUCCAUUUGACACAGACAUUUUACUUUUUAUAGCCAAGCCCAGUGGGCCAUGCAGCCUUCACGGGAUCCCUAGCCAUUCUCUAUCCCAUCAUAAGCAGAAAUCUAAUAACCUCAAUAGCCCUCAUCCCUCCUUCCCUUGAGUGUACACAGAAUCUGAAUAUGAUAAGAUUGUACUCACACAAUUAUGUAAAAUUAUAAAAAAGUGGCAGUUUGCAUUUGUAAUAAAUGUCCUAAUCAGUUAACUUUAAACUAUGGAGAUCACUGCUGGGUCUGGCUUAAUUGUGUUACUUUGUUCAUGAGAUAACCCUUACUUGUG
rnacentral:lncRNA from 1 species